ensembl:snoRNA
GCAGUCAUGUGUGCAUAGCUUCUCAUCUGUGCCUGGCACAUGGUCCUUAUGUGUUCUGCAUUAGACUUGUGUUGCCCACACAAAACCUGUGGCCUAAGAGCAACUUGAGAUCAUAGUACUGGUCUAGUAAUGUCAAAAGACAAGCUUAACACUGGCCUGCCUCCAAACUCUCAAACAAGC